rnacentral:rRNA from 1 species
AUUGAACGCUGGCGGCAUGCCUUACACAUGCAAGUCGAACGGUAACUCGGGGCAACCUGGCGACGAGUGGCGAACGGGUGAGUAAUGUAUCGGAACGUGCCCAGUUGUGGGGGAUAACUGCUCGAAAGAGCAGCUAAUACCGCAUACGACCUGAGGGUGAAAGCGGGGGAUCGCAAGACCUCGCGCAAUUGGAGCGGCCGAUAUCAGAUUAGGUAGUUGGUGGGGUAAAGGCUCACCAAGCCGACGAUCUGUAGCUGGUCUGAGAGGACGACUAGCCACACUGGGACUGAGACACGGCCCAGACUCCUACGGGAGGCAGCAGUGGGGAAUUUUGGACAAUGGACGCAAGUCUGAUCCAGCCAUGCCGCGUGCGGGAAGAAGGCCUUCGGGUUGUAAACCGCUUUUGUCAGGGAAGAAAAGGCUCCUUCUAAUAUAGGGGGCUCAUGACGGUACCUGAAGAAUAAGCACCGGCUAACUACGUGCCAGCCGCCGCGGUAAUAC